UUUCCGAAGAAACCAGUGCCGUAGACAGCCGGUAUCGCAAGAUUUAAUGGGGUUUCCCGCCUGCCGAGGUGUAAGUGGAUUUCGAUUUUAUUCCCUUGCGCCUGCACGCAAGGGUUUCUUUAUUCUGAA
rfam:Clostridiales bacterium strain WTE2008 genome assembly, contig: Ga0059123_101